UACAGAGGUCUCAACCGUUGUUCGGAUUCAUUGGGCGUAAAGGGUGCGUAGGCGGUCGUGCAAGUCGGAUGUGAAAUCUCAGGGCUCAACCCUGAAACUGCAUUCGAUACUGCGCGGCUAGAGUGCUGGAGGGGAGACUGGAAUUUACGGUGUAGCAGUGAAAUGCGUAGAUAUCGUAAGGAAGACCAGUGGCGAAGGCGAGUCUCUGGACAGCAACU
rnacentral:rRNA from 1 species